rnacentral:rRNA from 1 species
UACGGAGGGUGCAAGCGUUAAUCGGAAUUACUGGGCGUAAAGAGUGCGUAGGUGGUUGAAUAAGUUAUCUGUGAAAUCCCUGGGCUUAACCUGGGCAGGUCAGAUGAUACUGUUUGACUCGAGUAUGGGAGAGGGUAGUGGAAUUUCCGGUGUAGCGGUGAAAUGCGUAGAGAUCGGAAGGAACACCAGUGGCGAAGGCGGCUACCUGGCCUAAUACUGACACUGAGGCACGAAAGCGUGGGGAGCAAACAGG